UGAAACACCAGUUCCUGUAUAAUCACCAAAGUUAAGCAACAUUCUGCCUGGUUGGUAUUUAGCUGGGUGACCAUUUGGGAAUACCAAGUGCUGUAA